GUUUGCUACUAUGGUGGUUGAAUUUCUUUCAGUCUUAGUAACAUGAUGUUUUAGAAUCAUUUGGUUGUUUAUCUUUUUCUUAAUCCUCAGCCCAAGCUAAGACGCAAUUCUAAUGAAAUAGAGCGGCUGUGUGUUUUUUAUACGAUUCUUCUGCUCAAGCUUUUCUCGCGUUUUGUCCAUGGAAGCCGUUUCCCUUUCUCACACUGGUUUUUCGCUUCCUCUUCAUCGCUAUGGCUACCAUGAGCUUGGGCUUUCCAGUGCUUCAUUUUCUUUGCUUCCGAUGAAUGCGUUUAGGGGUCUUCGAUAUAGUUCUUCUCUCCAUGAACAAGCAAAUUUGAGAAAAGCUGCUCAACAUUAUUGCUACUCAUCCAUCAUCAGAAAAUGUGUUGGUGUCUCUUCGUGUUAUCUUACUCCAAAUGAGAAUCCAUACAACCUGUGGCACAACAACCCGUUUAGUGGAAAAAGAAACCCCCGGUCUAUUAUUGUUAGGUCAGAACUUGCAAAAAUGGGAACUCAUGAAGUUGGUUAUCCAUUACCAGAAGUACCAUUGAGCUCAAAAGUAAGAGGAACGUGUUUUUAUGCUACUACUGCAAUCACUGCUAUUUAUCUCUUUAUGCUUAUGCUGGUGGUGCAUCCAAUUGUGUUAUUGACGGAUAGAUACCGCAGAAGAAUUCAUUAUACAAUUGCCAAAAUGUGGGCAAGUUUGACUGUUGCUCCAUUUUUUAGGAUCAAAUACGAAGGAUUGGAGAAUUUACCCGCUCCAAAUUCUCCUGCUGUGUAUGUUUCCAACCAUCAGAGCUUUCUUGACAUAUAUACACUUCUUACCCUUGGCAGAAGCUUUAAGUUCAUUAGCAAGACUGCAAUAUUUCUCUUUCCCAUUAUUGGUUGGGCUAUGUUUAUGAUGGGUGUCGUUCCUUUGAAGCGUAUGGAUAGCAGAAGCCAGUUGGACUGUCUGAAGCGAUGCAUGGAGCUUAUAAGGAAGGGUGCAUCUGUAUUUUUCUUUCCAGAGGGAACACGUACUAAAGAUGGAAAAUUAGGUGCUUUCAAGAAAGGAGCAUUCAGUGUUGCAGCAAAGACGAAAGUGCCUGUUGUACCGAUUACACUCGUAGGAACUGGUAGCAUUAUGCCAGCAGGAUCUGAAGGCAUCUUGAAUAUGGGAUCUGUGAAAGUUCUUAUCCAUAAGCCUGUGAUCGGAAGUGAUCCAGAAGCAUUGUGCAACGAAGCUAGGAAUGUAAUUGCUGAUGCACUGAGUAAGCAUGCUCAGGUCUCUUCCGGUGAAAAUGAUUUUUGACUUCAUUACUCAGAUUUCAGUUACCUGAUGUAGAAUAUUUGUAUUUUUGAUAAGUCCUAAAAAAAUUGGAAUCAAAGUGACCAAGAAGAAGUUCCAUAAUGUCUUGAUGGAAGAACAGUGAGGCAAGAGUUGGUCUAUAUCUUCCCUAGCUGUACUGCAUAAUGCACACAUCGUGGAGGGUUGAGAUCCGAAGGGAACAUCCUUGGGGUAUUUGAUCAAUCAAGAUUAUUGCUCUUCCCAGUAGCAAGGGACAACGGAAACAUUUUGAGGCAAACUGCUACAUUCAUUUUGUGCAUAAUCUUGUGAUCAUAAAUUGCUAAUAAGGGAACUGGAAUUUUGGAAUGUGAUUCAGUGUUACUGAAUCAGGUAAAAUGGCUUCUUUAUAUUAUUAUGUUCAUAGUUGUUAGGGAUAUGCUUUUAACAUAUUAGUUUGUUCGUAGAGUCUUUUUUUUGCACAUGAAUUUUGUUCGUAAUCUGAUAACAUGAACUGCUAUUAGUUUCAAAUUGUUUUACCAUGU